rnacentral:rRNA from 1 species
CAUGCAAGUCGAACGGAAGGCGGAUUUAUUCGUCUUUAGUGGCAAACGGGUGAGUAACGCGUGGGAAUCUGCCCUUUGGUGGGGGACAACUAGGGGAAACUCUAGCUAAUACCGCAUAUAAUUGGUAACAAUGAAAGAUUUUAUUGCCAAAGGAUGAGCCCGCGUCAGAUUAGGUAGUUGGUAGGGUAAUGGCCUACCAAGCCUGUGAUCUGUAGCUGAUUUGAGAGAAUGAUCAGCCACACUGGGAUUGAGAUACGGCCCAGACUCCUACGGGAGGCAGCAGUAAGGAAUAUUGGACAAUGGGGGCAACCCUGAUCCAGCAAUGCCGCGUGAAUGAAGAAGGCCUUCGGGUUGUAAAGUUCUUUCGCUUACGAUGAUAAUGACAGUAGUAAGAUAAGAAGGUCCGGCUAACUCUGUGCCAGCAGCCGCGGUGAGACAGAGGGACCUAGCGUUGUUCGGAAUGACUGGGCGUAAAGGGUGCGUAGGUGGUUACUUAAGUAGGGUGUUAAAUCCUUGGGCUCAACCCAAGAAUCGCAUUCUAUACUGGGUGACUGGAGUAUGGGAGAGGAGAUUGGAAUUCCUAGUGUAGAGGUGAAAUUCGUAGAUAUUAGGAGGAACACCAGAGGCGAAGGCGAAUCUCUGGCCCAUUACUGACACUGAGGCACGAAAGCGUGGGGAGCAAACAGGAUUAGAUACCCUGGUAGUCCACGCCCUAAACGAUGAGUGCUAGACGUUGGAAUUUUAUUUUCAGUGUCGCAGCUAACGCGUUAAGCACUCCGCCUGAGGAUUACGGUCGCAAGACUAAAACUUAAAGGAAUUGACGG